rnacentral:sRNA from 1 species
GCUGGGCAUUGUGGCACAUGUCUAUAAUCCCAGCUACUUGGGAGGCUGAGGCAGGAGGAUCACAAGUUCAGGCUAGCCUGGGCAACUUAGUGAAACCCUGUCUCAA